GCUGGGUGCGGUGGCGGGCGCCUGUAGUUCCAGCUACUCGGGAGGCUGAGGCAGAAGAAUCGCUUGAACCCGGGAGGUAGGGGGUGCAGUGAGCCGAGAUCGCGCCACUGCACACCAGCCUGGGCAACAGAGCAAGACUCUGUCUCAA
rnacentral:SRP_RNA from 1 species